UUGAAGUUCAGGUAACACUGAAUGGAGGACCGAACCGACUUACGUUGAAAAGUGAGCGGAUGAACUGAGGGUAGCGGAGAAAUUCCAAUCGAACCUGGAGAUAGCUGGUUCUCUCCGAAAUAGCUUUAGGGCUAGCCUCAAGUGAUGAUUAUUGGAGGUAGAGCACUGUUUGGACGAGGGGCCCCUCUCGGGUUACCGAAUUCAGACAAACUCCGAAUGCCAAUUAAUUUAACUUGGGAGUCAGAACAUGGGUGAUAAGGUCCGUGUUCGAAAGGGAAACAGCCCAGACCACCAGCUAAGGUCCCAAAAUAUAUGUUAAGUGGAAAAGGAUGUGGCGUUGCCCAGACAACUAGGAUGUUGGCUUAGAAGCAGCCAUCAUUUAAAGAGUGCGUAAUAGCUCACUAGUCGAGUGACACUGCGCCGAAAAUGUACCGGGGCUAAACAUAUUACCGAAGCUGUGGAUUGUCCUUUGGACAAUGGUAGGAGAGCGUUCUAAGGGCGUUGAAGCAUGAUCGUAAGGACAUGUGGAGCGCUUAGAAGUGAGAAUGCCGGUGUGAGUAGCGAAAGACGGGUGAGAAUCCCGUCCACCGAUUGACUAAGGUUUCCAGAGGAAGGCUCGUCCGCUCUGGGUUAGUCGGGUCCUAAGCUGAGGCCGACAGGCGUAGGCGAUGGAUAACAGGUUGAUAUUCCUGUACCACCUAUAAUCGUUUUAAUCGAUGGGGGGACGCAGUAGGAUAGGCGAAGCGUGCGAUUGGAUUGCACGUCUAAGCAGUAAGGCUGAGUAUUAGGCAAAUCCGGUACUCGUUAAGGCUGAGCUGUGAUGGGGAGAAGACAUUGUGUCUUCGAGUCGUUGAUUUCACACUGCCGAGAAAAGCCUCUAGAUAGAAAAUAGGUGCCCGUACCGCAAACCGACACAGGUAGUCAAGAUGAGAAUUCUAAGGUGAGCGAGCGAACUCUCGUUAAGGAACUCGGCAAAAUGACCCCGUAACUUCGGGAGAAGGGGUGCUCUUUAGGGUUAACGCCCAGAAGAGCCGCAGUGAAUAGGCCCAAGCGACUGUUUAUCAAAAACACAGGUCUCUGCUAAACCGUAAGGUGAUGUAUAGGGGCUGACGCCUGCCCGGUGCUGGAAGGUUAAGAGGAGUGGUUAGCUUCUGCGAAGCUACGAAUCGAAGCCCCAGUAAACGGCGGCCGUAACUAUAACGGUCCUAAGGUAGCGAAAUUCCUUGUCGGGUAAGUUCCGACCCGCACGAAAGGCGUAACGAUUUGGGCACUGUCUCAACGAGAGACUCGGUGAAAUCAUAGUACCUGUGAAGAUGCAGGUUACCCGCGACAGGACGGAAAGACCCCGUGGAGCUUUACUGUAGCCUGAUAUUGAAAUUCGGCACAGCUUGUACAGGAUAGGUAGGAGCCUUUGAAACGUGAGCGCUAGCUUACGUGGAGGCGCUGGUGGGAUACUACCCUAGCUG
rnacentral:rRNA from 1 species